GACGAACGCUGGCGGCGUGCUUAACACAUGCAAGUCGAACGGAAAGGCCCUGCUUUUGUGGGGUGCUCGAGUGGCGAACGGGUGAGUAACACGUGAGUAACCUGCCCUUGACUUUGGGAUAACUUCAGGAAACUGGGGCUAAUACCGGAUAGGAGCUCCUGCUGCAUGGUGGGGGUUGGAAAGUUUCGGCGGUUGGGGAUGGACUCGCGGCUUAUCAGCUUGUUGGUGGGGUAGUGGCUUACCAAGGCUUUGACGGGUAGCCGGCCUGAGAGGGUGACCGGCCACAUUGGGACUGAGGUACGGCCCCGACUCCUACGGGAGGCAGCAGUGGGGAAUAUUGCACAAUGUGUGGAAGCCUGAUGCAGCAACGCCGUGUGCGGGAUGACGGCCUUCGGGUUGUAAACCGCUUUCGCUCAUGACGAAGCUUUGUGUGACGGUAGUGGGUAAAGAAGCACCGGCUAACUACGUG
rnacentral:rRNA from 1 species